rnacentral:rRNA from 1 species
UAAAGCUCUUUUACCCGGGAUGAUAAUGACAGUACCGGGAGAAUAAGCUCCGGCUAACUCCGUGCCAGCAGCCGCGGUAAUACGGAGGGAGCUAGCGUUGUUCGGAAUUACUGGGCGUAAAGCGCACGUAGGCGGCUUUUUAAGUCAGGGGUGAAAUCCCGGGGCUCAACCCCGGAACUGCCCUUGAAACUGGAGAGCUAGAAUCUUGGAGAGGCGAGUGGAAUUCCGAGUGUAGAGGUGAAAUUCGUAGAUAUUCGGAAGAACACCAGUGGCGAAGGCGACUCGCUGGACAAGUAUUGACGCUGAGGUGCGAAAGCGUGGGGAGCAGACAGGAUUAGAUACCCUGGUAGUCCACGCCGUAAACGAUGAUAACUAGCUGUCCGGGCUCAUGGAGCUUGGGUGGCGCAGCUAACGCAUUAAGUUAUCCGCCUGGGGAGUACGGUCGCAAGAUUAAAACUCAAAGGAAUUGACGGGGGCCUGCACAAGCGGUGGAGCAUGUGGUUU